rnacentral:lncRNA from 1 species
CUCUUGGUGAAGGGAGCGCCACAUGGGGCCUGCCACCCCGAGGAGGGGCUGUGCGAGAAUCGACCUGGUCUCUGGCGGAAAUCAUCACAUCUUACAGCCCUGACUGAUUCAGAGCUUCUUGAUUCCCCUUCUUUCCUGGGGUCACGGAGCCGAAAUUCACAUCAGCCUUCUCCUCAUCCUACGAGCCUGUCCCGACUCACACUCACAUUUGUCUCCCCAGAGAGCUCAGGACAGUGGGUUUUGAAAGGUGAACCGACAGAUAUUUUUUUCAAACUCUCCAUCAAUAGAAACAUCUCCAUGUGUAGAAACAAAAGGAAUACAGGGAACAUGGUCAGUUGGCCGAGACAGUGUCAGGGCGGGCCUGCCUGACCACGUACAGGCCUGUCUGUGAUGCCCUGCACCCCCCACGCGUGCUGCUGACCAUCACUGUGCCUCAGCUCCCACCCUGCCGCAAACGAGACUGGAAACAGAGCGCACAGUGUGUUCUCCCAGGGGUAGGACACGCCGAUCAACCCCGGCACGUACAAAGCUAGAGAUACAGACCUCCGAGUGAAUGCUGAACAAGCCCUGUCUGCCUGACCUCAGAAGGCCUUUCACAAAUGCAGCCCGAGUACAAGGCAAUUGCUGGAAUUGAGGCAGACGUGGAGAGAACAAAGGUGGCCUUCAUCUUUUUCCUGGAGGCCCUAAUGGAUGAUAUUUAUGUCUGUGAAAUAUGUUCCUGGCCGAACCAUACGCAGUAGAUGAAGAAGAAGCCAUUGGGAGAACGCUGCUUCAGAGCGAAGAAAACGGUUGUGGAUAAAUUUCUUUUCCAACCAGCCAAUCAGUAAAAUAUGUUUUAAUACACGACAAAAAGUAUAGUUUGUCAGUUUUCCCCACAGAGUAUGGCAAGUUGUUGAGCUUUAAUAUGAUUUGACAGCCUUGUGAUAUUUUCUGCCAUUCUUGUUCUUAGCAAAGUGCUCUAAAAAUGCAUCCAUAAUUUAUUUAUGGGACCUGUCAG